rnacentral:rRNA from 1 species
UACGGAGGGUGCAAGCGUUGUCCGGAAUCACUGGGCGUAAAGGGCGCGUAGGCGGCUCAUGAAGGCUGUGGUGAAAGUCCGGGGCUCAACCUCGGAUCGGCCGUGGCGACUCGUGGGCUGGAGCACUGUAGAGGCGGGUGGAAUUCCGGGUGUAGCGGUGGAAUGCGUAGAGAUCCGGAAGAACACCAGUGGCGAAGGCGGCUCGCUGGGCAGUGGCUGACGCUGAGGCGCGACAGCGUGGGGAGCAAACAGG